GACGAACGCUGGCGGCGUGCUUAACACAUGCAAGUCGAACGGAAAGGCCCUGCUUGCAGGGUACUCGAGUGGCGAACGGGUGAGUAACACGUGGGUGAUCUGCCCUGCACUUCGGGAUAAGCCGGGGAAACUGGGUCUAAUACCGGAUAGGAGCCAUUUUUAUUGUGAUGGUUGGAAAGUUUUUUCGGUGUAGGAUGAGCUCGCGGCCUAUCAGCUUGUUGGUGGGGUAAUGGCCUACCAAGGCGGCGACGGGUAGCCGGCCUGAGAGGGUGGACGGCCACAUUGGGACUGAGAUACGGCCCAGACUCCUACGGGAGGCAGCAGUGGGGAAUAUUGCACAAUGGGGGCAAGCCUGAUGCAGCGACGCCGCGUGGGGGAUGACGGCCUUCGGGUUGUAAACUCCUUUCGCUAGGGACGAAGCUUUUUGUGACGGUACCUAGAUAAGAAGCACCGGCUAACUACGUG
rnacentral:rRNA from 1 species